rnacentral:lncRNA from 1 species
AACACCCUUAAUGAAACUAAAUUAAAAUAAAAUUAAAAACACAAAAUUAAAAAAAAUUGUGGUCGCCGGCGUAGGGUUUUCUUCUUCCUCAUUCUCUGCGUCUUUUCUUCUACUACUCAUCGUCUUCAACCAUGUUCCACUGCAUCGGCAUCAAAGAUGAAGCUUGUUAUCCACCAUGUUAAAUGGCGUCAAAACUCGUGACAUCCCUUGCUUUAUCUUGAGCUCUGAUGCCACAACCUCUUCUCAGCUUUAUUCUCCAACUCCUCCGCCGGUUUGGUGAGCCACAACCAAACCUGAUUGAGACAUCGAUCCCAGCGAUCCCAACAGCUUCGGUGCUCAGCAUGUAUUCGACUCCAUGACAUCUGCAUCGUGGAUGAAGCUCUUUAUCCACCGUGGCCUUCUCUCUUCCAAGACCAGAGCUUGAAAUCUUCACUGAACCCAUGUGCCUUCACCACACUACGAUUCACCACCACAGCUUGUCCUCUCUAAGUUCUCUAUCCGUCACUUUUCCCUCAUCUCUCUUAUGUGACCUCUGGUGAUCCCUUGUGUCAAAGACGAGUAUAGCAUACUCGACAUGCAUGAAAAAUCUUGCUUUCAAGGCCUAAGUAUUGAGAAAUGGAAGCUGAAUCAACAGCUUUUUCAGGUCCUAUACAAAGACUGAGCUCUGUCAAAGAUACAUCUUCAAUAAGAGUGGGAUCAGUCAGAGUUUUGAUGUUAAGCCUCUCGAGAUAAACACUUCACUGAAAAUUCUUAUAAAAAUUAAAGUGGCCUUUUGCGUUUUUAACUUAUGAUGUGUAUUGAAAUCUGCAGCAAUUGGAUGGUCUCUCUGUGGAAUGUAGGAAGUUUAAAGAUGUUUUGGAGAGUAAAGUACUUAUAAUCUCAAAAGAUAUGAAAGAUGACAGGUCUAGUAAAAGCAGCUAAGUGAUCAGUGUUGGCUUACCAGCUUAUGAAAUUAUCUAUGAGAUUUUAUAGUCUGUCAAAGUCAAUACAUCCGGCUUGUUACUUAAUAAAGUCUCAACCUUUUAUUUUGUUUUCUUACUUUCACUUCUGAUGAUUUUUUUUUUUGUCAUCUACUUCUGAUGAUUAAACAAAGAACAUAAUAUUUUAUUUAUCGGCACGACACUCCCAAUGUUUUACGUGACUGCAUUUAUGCUAAAGACACAAAAACAAAAUAAUUUAAUGAUUAUCAUUUACGUAACAUAUGUAACUAUAACUUUUAUGAAUAUAUUUGAUUUAUCUUUACAAACAUCAAACAUAUUUUUACAUGUGAAAGUAUUAGUAAAAGCCCUAAAACUAGAUAUAUAAACAAUUGAUAUACUUUUAUUAUAUAUUAGAUGAGUAUUACUGGUACAACUGGUACAAAUUUGACAUUCAGAAAUUGAUAAAAUAAAUUUGGCAUUCUACAUGAGAAAACAAUCUCAUUCCCAAUUGGUAUGUAUUCAAAAAGUUUCUCUUAAUUUAUUUGAAAUUUUGGAAAAACAAUUAUUGCAUAAUUUCAUAAGUUUACAUGAUCUACCUUAUACUUUUAAGGUUUGUUAACUUAUUUGUCUACAUAAUUUUUGGAAAACAUACAUGAAAUGUAUUUAUACGAAAUUGAUGAUUUCAUUGUAACCGGGCAAUGUCAUGUAAACAUAAAGAAGUGGUACAACUAAGGUAAUUGUAUUUAUUAUGAGGUACAACUAAUAUUUUUAGAUUUUACUGCCAAAGUACAACUAUGCACAAACUGGUACAACUAAAAAACUAGUACAACUAUGUAUCGUCGGUAUAACUAGAAAACUGGUACAACUAUUUAUUGUUUUAUUUAGUAUUGUUUAAAUGUGUAUUACGUUUUAAACAAGUAUCAUGUUUUAAACAUUGUGGUUGAACACUGACCUCGAGUAGUUGUACUAGUUGUACCAUUCAUAUAUAUCAUUAUCACUUGUCAUUAUUUGUUUAUGCAAAAAUAUGGGCAUGCGUCAUGCUAAAGUUUAUUUUCUUAUAAAAUUAUAAUUUGACUGCCGGAAGCAUGGGCUUGGUCCGCUUCUACUCAGGGCCGGCUCUGUUAACAAUGAUAUAUAUAAUAGAAUACAUAUAUAUAGAUAUACUUAUUUUCACUGUAAUAUCAUACAAUAAGGAAUUAUAUACUCAUAUACCAUUUUAGGGUUUAGCUCGUUGUCCACGUGGGUUUGGUCCGCAAUGCAUUUAUCUUGUGAAGCUUGUACAACAGUACAAGAAGGGCAAUUCAUAAAAGCUACCAGAAUUAGUUAUCUCUCAGUUAUUUUCAAUGAUUUAUCGUCACACAAGAAGACAUUAAUGUUAUUUUGGCCACAAAACCAAGCCAAAAUGGGCUUCAUUCUCAAGGUGUUUCACAGUGUAAAAAUUAAGAAGUUCAGUACGUGCGUCUCAGCUGAAUGCACUCUAGAUUAGUUAGGUUUAUAAAGUUAUACAUCUUCCUGGUUUUAUAGUGGAACCGGGAUGUCCAAUCUGCGGGUUAACGGACAUAAUCGACACCUAUUGUUUGGUAGAAUAAGGAAACACUUGAAUUAAAAGUGCAGACAAAUACAAAUAUCGCAAUUUCAUUAGUCGGACAUCGUUGUUUAAUGAGUCGUCACUAUAUAAUAGAGUAAAAAUGUUCAAUAUAAGAAAAAAGGAAAAGAAUUCCCCCUUAAUAACAUAUUUAUUUGAGUUUCCUUUUUCAUGUUUUAUGAAGCAUAGUAUUUGCAGCCCUGCAGAUUAGGUAUAUCGAUGUCUAUAUUCGAGGAUUACGCUCAUUCUUGUGUUAUCCGAACUCCAGAACCUGCAGAAGAUAAACAUGAAAAUAAAACUCUUUAAAUAUAUUGAUUUUAAUGAACUUGUCUUUUUAUGUUUAAAAAUGACUUUUUAUUUUGGACAUUCUAUUAUAUAAAAAGAUAACAUAAGAAAAGUUAUUGUUAAAAAAAAAACAUAAGAAAAGUGUGAUCCUCGACGAUAGACAUCGUUAUACCUAGUCUGCAAGUAUAUAUGUAUACCUUGAUGAACACCAGCUAGCAUGGUGGAGGCCAAUCACACUCGUGAUAUUGGCACGGCUCAAUCAAACAAACCGAUCUCUACAACAAAAGAGUGUGGUUUUCUGAUUGAACCGCACCAAUAUCUCGUAUUGUCUUUAUGUUAGUAAGAUAUUCUUACGUUCUCGUCGAUCAGUUGCUUAUUAUCCCAUAGUCAACAUCAAAAAUAAAAAAUAAAAGAAUCAAAGAAGGCAAAUGACUGAAUAUAGAAUAGAAUUGUACGUGAAGAGAGAACAUGGACCAAAAUCUCAUAUGGACCAAAAGGUCAAAAAAUAAUCUACAGCAUCCAAAAUAAAUAUGUAUGGACCUCUAUAAUGUAAAUUACUUUAACACCCUUAAUGAAACUAAAUUAAAAUAAAAUUAAAAACACAAAACUAAAAAAAAUUGUGGUCGCCGGCGUAGGGUUUUUUUCUUCCUCAUUCUCUGCGUCUUUUCUUCUACUACUCAUCGUCUUCAACCAUGUUCCACUGCAUCGGCAUCAGCGAUGAAGCUUGUUAUCCACCAUGUUAAAUGGCGUCAAAACUCGUGACAUCCCUUGCUUUAUCUUGAGCUCUGAUGCCACAACCUCUUCUCAGCUUUAUUCUCCAACUCCUCCGCCGGUUUGGUGAGCCACAACCAAACCUGAUUGAGACAUUGAUCCCAGCGAUCCCAACAGCUUUGGUGCUCAGCAUGUAUUCGACUCCAUGACAUCUGCAUCGUGGAUGAAGCUCUUUAUCCACCGUGGCCUUCUCUCUUCCAAGACCAGACCUUGAAAGGUGCCUUCACCACACUACGAUUCACCACC